rnacentral:misc_RNA from 1 species
UCCGAGUUGACCCCGGCAGUCUCCUAUGAGUCCCCGACAUUACUCGCUGGCAACAUAGGACGAGGGUUGCGCUCGUUGCGGGACUUAACCCAACAUCUCACGACACGAGCUGACGACAGCCAUGCACCACCUGCACACCAACCACAAGGGAACUACCAUCUCUGGCAGCGUCUGGCGCAUGUCAAACCCAGGUAAGGUUCUUCGCGUUGCGUCGAAUUAAACCACAUGCUCCACCGCUUGUGCGGGCCCCCGUCAAUUCCUUUGAGUUUCAGCCUUGCGGCCGUACUCCCCAGGCGGGGCACUUAAUGCGUUAGCGCCGGCACCCAGGGGGUCGCUCCCCCAGGCACCUAGUGCCCAUCGUUUACGGCGUGGACUAC